rnacentral:rRNA from 1 species
AUAUCAAUAAGCGGAGGAAAAGAAACCAACAGGGAUUGCCUUAGUAACGGCGAGUGAAGCGGCAACAGCUCAAAUUUGAAAUCUGGCCCUCGGGUCCGAAUUGUAAUUUGUAGAGGAUGAUUUUGGUGCGGUAUCUUCCGAGUUCCUUGGAACAGGACGCCUUAGAGGGUGAGAGCCCCGUACGGUUGAAUGCCUAGCCUCUGUAAAUCUCCUUCGACGAGUCGAGUAGUUUGGGAAUGCUGCUCUAAAUGGGAGGUAAAUUUCUUCUAAAGCUAAAUAUUGGCCAGAGACCGAUAGCGCACAAGUAGAGUGAUCGAAAGAUGAAAAGCACUUUGAAAAGAGGGUUAAAUAGCACGUGAAAUUGUUGAAAGGGAAGGAUUUGUGACCAGACUUUUUCUGGGCGGAUCAUCCGGGGUUCUCUCCGGUGCACUUUGCCCAGUAAAGGCCAGCAUCGAUUUUCGGCGGCGGAUAAAAGCAGUGGGAAUGUGGCUCCCUACGGGGAGUGUUAUAGCCCAUUGUAUAAUACGCUGCUGGGGAUCGAGGUACGCGCUUCUGCAAGGAUGCUGGCGUAAUGGUUAUCAAUCA